rnacentral:rRNA from 1 species
UACGGAGGGUGCAAGCGUUAUCCGGAUUCACUGGGUUUAAAGGGUGCGUAGGCGGGCAGGUAAGUCAGUGGUGAAAUCUCCGAGCUUAACUCGGAAACUGCCAUUGAUACUAUUUGUCUUGAAUAUUGUGGAGGUAAGCGGGAUAUGUCAUGUAGCGGUGAAAUGCUUAGAUAUGACAUAGAACACCAAUUGCGAAGGCAGCUUACUACACAAUGAUUGACGCUGAGGCACGAAAGCGUGGGGAUCAAACAGG